UCCAGACUCCUACGGGAGGCAGCAGUGGGGGAUAUUGCACAAUGGGGGGAACCCUGAUGCAGCGACGCCGCGUGGGUGAAGGAGCACCUCGGUGCGUAAAGCCCUAUCGGCAGGGAAGAAAAGCGAACAGGUUCGCCUGGACGGUACCUGACUAAGAAGCCCCGGCUAACUACGUGCCAGCAGCCGCGGGAAUACGUAGGGGGCAAGCGUCAUCCGGAUUUACUGGGUGUAAAGGGAGCGUAGACGGUGAGACAAGUCUGAAGUGAAAGCCCGGGGCUCAACCCCGGGACUGCUUUGGAAACUGCCUGACUGGAGUGCUGGAGAGGCAAGCGGAAUUCCUAGUGUAGCGGUGAAAUGCGUAGAUAUUAGGAAGAACACCAGUGGCGAAGGCGGCUUGCUGGACAGUAACUGACGUUGAGGCUCGAAAGCGUGGGGAGCAAACAGGAUUAGAUACCCCAGUACC
rnacentral:rRNA from 1 species